rnacentral:rRNA from 1 species
AACGAACGCUGGCGGCAUGCCUAACACAUGCAAGUCGAACGAGACCUUCGGGUCUAGUGGCGCACGGGUGCGUAACGCGUGGGAAUCUGCCCUUGGGUUCGGAAUAACAGUUAGAAAUGACUGCUAAUACCGGAUGAUGACUUCGGUCCAAAGAUUUAUCGCCCAGGGAUGAGCCCGCGUAGGAUUAGCUUGUUGGUGAGGUAAAGGCUCACCAAGGCGACGAUCCUUAGCUGGUCUGAGAGGAUGAUCAGCCACACUGGGACUGAGACACGGCCCAGACUCCUACGGGAGGCAGCAGUGGGGAAUAUUGGACAAUGGGCGAAAGCCUGAUCCAGCAAUGCCGCGUGAGUGAUGAAGGCCUUAGGGUUGUAAAGCUCUUUUACCCGGGAUGAUAAUGACAGUACCGGGAGAAUAAGCCCCGGCUAACUUCGUGCCAGCAGCCGCCGUAA